GAUGAACGCUGGCGGCGUGCCUAAUACAUGCAAGUCGAGCGAACGGACGAGAAGCUUGCUCCUCUGACGUUAGCGGCGGACGGGUGAGUAACACGUGGAUAACCUACCUAUAAGACUGGGAUAACUUCGGGAAACCGGAGCUAAUACCGGAUAAUAUUUUGAACCGCAUGGUUCAAUAGUGAAAGACGGUUUUGCUGUCACUUAUAGAUGGAUCCGCGCUGCAUUAGCUAGUUGGUAAGGUAACGGCUUACCAAGGCAACGAUGCAUAGCCGACCUGAGAGGGUGAAAGGGCAAAAAGGAAAUGAGAAAAGGUGCAGAAUCCGACGGGAGGCAGGAGGAAGGAAUCGUCCGCAAUGGGCGAAAGCCUGACGGAGCAAAGCAGCGUGAGUGAUGAAGGUCUUCGGAUCGUAAAACUCUGUUAUUAGGGAAGAACAAAUGUGUAAGUAACUAUGCACGUCUUGACGGUACAUAAUCAGAAAGCCACGGCGAACUACGUG
rnacentral:rRNA from 1 species